GCAAGUUUGCAAGCCCUGUAAGCAGGAAGAAAGUCAACAUUAAUCAUAAAAUAAUCUUGAAAAUGUUGCAGAGUGGAUGUAACAAAUUCAAGGGAAAUUAAAAAGAUGUAAGAAAAAAUCUUCAGUGUUGUCACCCAUAAAUCCAAUACCCAAUGAUGGAAAAGAAAGAUUAAAUAUCCUAAAACCAUUGUUCACAGGCAUUGAGAUGUCUAAGGCUGCUGGAUAGAAUGAAAUUCAUGAUGUUUUGUUUCCCACUUAAUAAAUAAUUCAAAAUCUGUAAUCAUUCUUUAGCCACCACACAUAAAUCAUUGAGCAAUAUGUACU
rnacentral:misc_RNA from 1 species